GAUGAAGAACGCAGCAAAAUGCGAUAAGUAAUGUGAAUUGCAGAAUUCAGUGAAUCAUCGAAUCUUUGAACGCACAUUGCGCCCGCCAGUAUUCUGGCGGGCAUGCCUGUCUGAGCGUCAUUUCAACCCUCAUGCCCCUAGGGCGUGGUGUUGGGGAUCGGCCAAAGCCCGCGAGGGACGGCCGGCCCCUAAAUCUAGUGGCGGACCCGUCGUGGCCUCCUCUGCGAAGUAGUGAUAUUCCGCAUCGGAGAGCGACGAGCCCCUGCCGUUAAACCCCCAACUUUCCAAGGUUGACCUCAGAUCAGGUAGGAAUACCCGCUGAACUUAAGCAUAUCAAUAAGGGAGGA
rnacentral:misc_RNA from 1 species